rnacentral:rRNA from 1 species
GGAAUAUAUAGCACGCUGCCGUGACCGCGAGGCCGGCAGUGGGUGCGUAUGUAUGCGUGAUCGAGCCGUGGCCGAGAAGCAAGGAUGUCAGGCUCGUCAUCACGACAGCGAACUAGGUGAAGAUCUUUCAAAAUUGUUAAGAAUAAUUAACUCAUCGUUAAUUAGGGGAUAAUCCCCGCUCUCCCCGUGCAUGUAAUUGCAGGAUGUGGGAACCGUCACAACGGUUUCUCCCUGGAGCGUCGCCUCUUGGAACCGUCGUCUCCUUUGAGACGUCUGUACAUGUUGUAUAUAAAGGAUCCUACACUAUCAAUAAAGACUACUUGAUUCACUUUACAACCCUCUCGAUUGUUCUCUGUCGAUCUCUCUCUCAAACACGUCAUCAGCACGCUCCCGCACGGCGACUCCAGCGGCGCCCUGCCUGCGACGGCUUUGGCGCACGUCCAGGCCGCAUCCUGGCGGAUGUGCGUGGAGAGCCCUUCCCUGGAGGUGGCGUCCGAGGCCACGACUCUCGUCCGGCCAUCCGCAACUACUUCCUUCGGUGCGCGUGCCUGAGGAAACAGGCGCACAACUCUCCCGAGAGAGAUGCCACACGAGAAGAACGGGGCGAAUAUCACCGUCCCCGAUGGAGAGCGGCAGCAAAUCCGACGAACAAACUCCAAGAUGGGAAGAAGAAGAAGAGAAUCGGAGACUAGAGUCAAGCACCACGCAAAUUGGAGUACCAACUUCAUCUAAUUGCUACAGAGAAACAAGGUGCUACUUUUUCCAAUUUUCUUCAUGGCUACACAAAUUUGCUUUACCAUGAACAGAAUCUUGCCUUACGCUGGACGAAGGACGAAGGCAUUCACGGCAAGAGACAUCGCUUGGUUUCAGUCCCCGCUGGACCAAGACGCCGGCUCCAGCGGCUUCGUCUCCUGCCGCGCCGCCGGAUCACACCUCCGCGUUGAGUCCUGCCGCCACCAAUGGCGCUCUCCGGCGGCACGUCGCGGCAAGACAUAGCGACCAGGCGGCCUCCCGCACAGCCCGAAGCGGCGGCGUCUGGGCGUCUCAAGCCCGUGACGGCGCUUUCCAGCGCCCUGCGGCGGCGACUUCCGGCACGGCAAGAUCCUCCCUCUCCUUUCUCCGGCGAGCCCUCGAGGCCGCUCGAGACGGCGCUAGAAAAAUCCCCAUCGCGGAACCGCACAGGAGAGAGAGUAGAGGCAACCUUAUCCCUUUGCCAUUUUUGCAUGCAGGUCCCUGUUUUUGCGAAAUUUGCAAAAUGGGUAAAACAGUGGUCCAGGCUAAUUUUGAACAAUACUAACAGUACUAUUUACCACUGAAAAAAAUAGCACGCUGUAACCUCGCUAAUAGCACGCUUUAGCAUCUUGAGAAUUGUCUCGCUAAAUAUAUCAGUGUACAACGUCUCGCUAAUAGCACGCUAUAGCAUGAUAUAGCACGCUAAUAGCAUAUUUUGAGGUCGGCGCUAUUUUGCUGUAGCACGCUAUUUUUUUCAUUGCUAUUUACUAGUAUUUGCCUGUUUUAGACCCUGUUAAUUACUGUAUUUUCUGUUGAGUUCUAAAAUUCCAGAAAUAUGUGUAUGUUGAUACUUGACAUGCAUUUUCUGUUGAGUUUUAAAAUUCUAGAACAAGUUUUCCGCGAUUGAGCUUAAGUUUUCUCGCACAACAAUAUAGAUUUGCGAUUGAGAAUUAUCAUUUUCUCGCAAAACAAUCUCAUUGCGAUUGAGAUCAAUUUUCUCUCGCAAAUUAUUAAUUCACCUCGCUGAAUUAUCUUGCAACUUGAUACAAGAUCAUCUCAUUUUAAUUUGAGGUCUAUACAAUUCAAGUUUUUCACUUGAACAUCAAGUUUGCAACAUCAUUACUAUUCAUUACGAUAGUAGUGUGUAUCUAUUGAGUACCGAGAUGUAUUCCAGAUCUUAAGUUGAUGUAAUAUAUUUCCACGUUUACCACGUGUUGAGAUUAGUUACGUUCAUUUGCAAUUGAGAUUUCUCAUCUCUUGCAAAGAUAAAUUCAGUACGUCUAUAGUACUGUUUCUCCGUUGAGUACGAUGUAUUCUGGAAUAUUUCUAUGAUGUAUCUAUUUCCAUGUUAAACACGUGUCGAGAUUAAUACUUCUAUUUGCAAUUGAGAUUUUCAAUUCCUUGCAAAUACAAAUGCAAAAUUCAAAGUGAUUUCGUCAAAUUGAUGCUUGGGAUCACAAGGUAGUCAUAUGGAUCUACUGCCUACACAGAUUAUCGAUGACUACUGAUAAAGCCUAUAUUUUAUCAUAUUUGACAUUAUGAUUGCACAACAUUGUGCACUCCCAUGCAUUUUACUAAGUCAUGAC